rnacentral:rRNA from 1 species
UUAAGUUAAUAAGGGCGCACGGUGGAUGCCUUGGCACUAGGAGCCGACGAAGGACGUGACCAACGACGAUAUGCCUUGGGUAGCUGUAAGUAAGCGAUGAUCCAGGGAUUUCCGAAUGGGGGAACCCAACAGGUAGUACCUGUUACCCACAUCUGUAAGGAUGUGAGGAGGAAGACGCAGUGAACUGAAACAUCUAAGUAGCUGCAGGAAGAGAAAGCAAAAGCGAUUGCCUUAGUAGCGGCGAGCGAAACGGCAGAAGGGCAAACCGAAGAGUUUACUCUUCGGGGUUGUAGGACUGCAAUGUGGACUCAAAGAUUAUAGAAGAAUGAUUUGGGAAGAUCAGCCAAAGAGAGUAAUAGCCUCGUAUUUAAAAUAGUCUUUGUACCUAGCAGUAUCCUGAGUACGGCGGGACACGUGAAAUCCCGUCGGAAUCUGGGAGGACCAUCUCCCAACCCUAAAUACUCCCUAGUGACCGAUAGUGAACCAGUACCGUGAGGGAAAGGUGAAAAGCACCCCGGGAGGGGAGUGAAAUAGAACCUGAAACCGUGUGCCUACAACAAGUUCGAGCCCGUUAAUGGGUGAGAGCGUGCCUUUUGUAGAAUGAACCGGCGAGUUACGUUAUGAUGCGAGGUUAAGUUGAAGAGACGGAGCCGUAGGGAAACCGAGUCUGAAUAGGGCGCCUUAGUAUCAUGACGUAGACCCGAAACCAUGUGACCUACCCAUGAGCAGGUUGAAGGUGCGGUAAGACGCACUGGAGGACCGAACCAGGGCACGUUGAAAAGUGCUUGGAUGACUUGUGGGUAGCGGAGAAAUUCCAAACGAACUUGGAGAUAGCUGGUUCUCUCCGAAAUAGCUUUAGGGCUAGCGUCGACAUUAGAGAUUCUUGGAGGUAGAGCACUGUUUGGGUGAGGGGUCCAUCCCGGAUUACCAAUCUCAGAUAAACUCCGAAUGCCAAUGAAUUAUGGUCGGCAGUCAGACUGCGAGUGCUAAGAUCCGUAGUCGAAAGGGAAACAGCCCAGACCACCAGCUAAGGUCCCAAAAUAAUUGUUAAGUGGAAAAGGAUGUGGGGUUGCACAGACAACUAGGAUGUUAGCUUAGAAGCAGCUAUUCAUUCAAAGAGUGCGUAAUAGCUCACUAGUCGAGUGACCCUGCGCCGAAAAUGUACCGGGGCUAAAACAAUUUACCGAAGCUGUGGAUACCUUUAUAGGUAUGGUAGGAGAGCGUUCUAUGUGUGAUGAAGGUAUACCGUGAGGAGUGCUGGAACGCAUAGAAGUGAGAAUGCCGGUAUGAGUAGCGAAAGACAGGUGAGAAUCCUGUCCACCGUAAGACUAAGGUUUCCAGGGGAAGGCUCGUCCGCCCUGGGUUAGUCGGGACCUAAGGAGAGACCGAAAGGUGUAUCCGAUGGACAACAGGUUGAUAUUCCUGUACUAGAGUAUGUAGUGAUGGAGGGACGCAGUAGGCUAACUAAAGCAGACGAUUGGAAGAGUCUGUCUAAGCAGUGAGGUGUGAAUUGAGUCAAAUGCUUAAUUCUAUAACAUUGAGCUGUGAUGGGGAGCGAAGUUUAGUAGCGAAGUUAGUGACGUCACACUGCCAAGAAAAGCUUCUAGCGUUUAAACAUACUCUACCCGUACCGCAAACCGACACAGGUAGUCGAGGCGAGUAGCCUCAGGUGAGCGAGAGAACUCUCGUUAAGGAACUCGUCAAAAUGACCCCGUAACUUCGGGAGAAGGGGUGCUGACUUAAAGUCAGCCGCAGUGAAUAGGCCCAAGCAACUGUUUAUCAAAAACACAGCUCUCUGCUAAAUCGUAAGAUGAUGUAUAGGGGGUGACGCCUGCCCGGUGCUGGAAGGUUAAGAGGAGUGCUUAGCGUAAGCGAAGGUAUGAAUUGAAGCCCCAGUAAAGGGCGGCCGUAACUAUAACGGUCCUAAGGUAGCGAAAUUCCUUGUCGGGUAGGUUCCGACCCGCACGAAAGGCGUAAUGAUUUGGGCACUGUCUCAACGAGAGACUCGGUGAAAUUUUAGUACCUGUGAAGAUGCAGGUUACCCGCGACAGGACGGAAAGACCCCAUGGAGCUUUACUGCAGUUUGAUAUUGAGUGUCUGUACCACAUGUACAGGAUAGGUAGGAGUCUAAGAGAUCGGGACGCCAGUUUCGAAGGAGACGCUGUUGGGAUACUACCCUUGUGUUAUGGCCACUCUAACCCAGAUAGGUGAUCCCUAUCGGAGACAGUGUCUGACGGGCAGUUUGACUGGGGCGGUCGCCUCCUAAAAGGUAACGGAGGCGCCCAAAGGUUCCCUCAGAAUGGUUGGAAAUCAUUCGCAGAGUGUAAAGGUAUAAGGGAGCUUGACUGCGAGAGCUACAACUCGAGCAGGGACGAAAGUCGGGCUUAGUGAUCCGGUGGUUCCGUAUGGAAGGGCCAUCGCUCAACGGAUAAAAGCUACCCUGGGGAUAACAGGCUUAUCUCCCCCAAGAGUUCACAUCGACGGGGAGGUUUGGCACCUCGAUGUCGGCUCGUCGCAUCCUGGGGCUGUAGUCGGUCCCAAGGGUUGGGCUGUUCGCCCAUUAAAGCGGCACGCGAGCUGGGUUCAGAACGUCGUGAGACAGUUCGGUCCCUAUCCGUCGCGGGCGUAGGAAAUUUGAGAGGAUCUGCUCCUAGUACGAGAGGACCAGAGUGGACUUACCGCUGGUGUACCAGUUGUCUUGCCAAAGGCAUCGCUGGGUAGCUAUGUAGGGAAGGGAUAAACGCUGAAAGCAUCUAAGUGUGAAACCCACCUCAAGAUGAGAUUUCCCAUGAUUAUAUAUCAGUAAGAGCCCUGAGAGAUGAUCAGGUAGAUAGGUUAGAAGUGGAAGUGUGGCGACACAUGUAGCGGACUAAUACUAAUAGCUCGAGGACUUAUCCAA